UUGCUAGAAAAGGAGCAUUGAACCUGAUAGUAAAGUCAUUUGAGAUGCACCAGGCCAGAGUAAAACGAUCCUCAAUGCCAGAUAUUGAGAGUUCUUUGCACACGGUAUUCACCAAUACAGACGAAAACCUUGAUGGACACAUUACAGUAGACGAGAUGGUAGACUCUGUCGUUGGUAGCACAGGCCUAACGAUUGAUCAGAACAUGAGACGGGGGUUCAAUGCUGUAUUUGGUAAUCCAAAAUACGACUUGAAUGAAAAAUGGAACCCUCGAGGAAAAUGAAUAUGGUGAACUGAUUAAAUCAGGAAUGGGAAUGUGGAAAAGAAAAACUGAGAACUUGCAUUGAGGGGAACAGGACAGGAAUUUGACAAUAUAUUUUGGUUUAAACGGUGUUUCUGUUAAUGUUAGUAAUACAGAAUAAUAACAUGUUAAGUAAUAUUGUUUGUCAUUGUCGUCAUAUUUAGAAAAUAAAUGUUCCUAAAAUGUUAUCUGAAUUAACAAAGUAACAAAAUCAAAUUCGAAUAUAUUAAAUUUAGUGUUUUUUUUAAUUUAUAUUUACACUUCAUUUUGAAAGCUCCUUUGGGUGUCUUCUACUGAAACUGUACAACCUUUAUCUGAUGUCUAAUUACGGAAUUUGUCAACACAUAAAUCAAAUGAAAUUCGGACCAUUUCUUACAGAUUAAAACAAACAAAUGUUAUAGGUUUGAUAUCUAUUAUUCCAGCACCAUGAGGCUACUGAUUGUUUGAAUCAGUAUGUUUUAAACAAAGGCUGUAAAUACCAAGUAACUUGAAUUUAA